UUUGAUAUAGUAUAAUAAUUACAUUUCUUUUACAAAGAAAAGAUGAAAUCUAUCAAAA
rnacentral:tRNA from 1 species